AAUUUUCCUUCCAUACUAAAACAAGACAUAUGAAGAAAAACCAUUGAAGAGAAGUGAACAGCAAAAUAUUAACCAUUGAAUGCACAACAAAGAUUCAAAGAGUGUUCAAAGAUUGAAGUGAGGACAAAACUCAAUAGAAUUAUUUUUUGGUGAGACUUGGAA